rnacentral:ncRNA from 1 species
UACAUGGUUGAUCCUACCAGUAGUCAUGUGCUUGUCUCAAAGAUUAAGCCAUGCAUGUGUAAGUAUGAACAAAUUCAGAAUGUGAAACUGCGAAUGGCUCAAUAAAUCGGUUAUAGUUUGUUGGAUGGUAUCUAUUACACGGAUAACCGUAGUAAUUCUAGAGCUAAUAUGUGCAACAAACUCCGACUUCUGGAAGAGAUGCAUUUAUAAGAUAAAAGGUCGGCGCGGGCCCUGCUCGUUGCUGCGAUGACUCAUGAUAACUCGACGGAUCACACGGCCAUCGUGGUGAUGGGUGACGGAGAAUUAGGGUUCGAUUCCGAUGAGGGAGCCUUAGAAACGGCUGCCACAUCCAAGGAAGGUAGCAGACGCGCAAAUUACCCAAUCCUGACAUGGGGAGGUACUGACAAUAAAUAAUAAUACUGGGCUCUAUGAGUCUGGUAAUUGGAAUGAGUACAAUCUAAAUCCCUUAACGAGGAUC